rnacentral:rRNA from 1 species
ACGGAAGGCAGCAGUGGGGAAUAUUGCACAAUGGGCGCAAGCCUGAUGCAGCAACGCCGCGUGAGGGAAGACGGUCUUCGGAUUGUAAACCUUUGUCUUUGGUGAAGAAACAAUGACGGUAGCCAAGGAGGAAGCCACGGCUAACUACGUGCCAGCAGCCGCGGUAAUACGUAGGUUGCAAGCGUUGUCCGGAUUUACUGGGUGUAAAGGGCGUGUAGGCGGAGCUGCAAGUCAGAUGUGAAAUCCCGGGGCUCAACCCCGGAACUGCAUUUGAAACUGUAGCCCUUGAGUAUCGGAGAGGCAAGCGGAAUUCCUAGUGUAGCGGUGAAAUGCGUAGAUAUUAGGAGGAACACCAGUGGCGAAGGCGGCUUGCUGGACGACAACUGACGCUGAGGCGCGAAAGCGUGGGGAGCAAACAGGAUUAGAUACCCUGGUA